AAAACUACCUAUAUAAGGUUCGAAUUUUUUUUUGAUCACUUAGUAUAACUUACUAUGGACAUCGUGUAAAAUUUUCAAACAUCUCUGCUCACCAAAAUAAUACAUUUUAUCCAUAUAAAAUCAACUAAAAAUAAGAGCUAAAACUGGGGACCGACUUAGCCACUGUUGUAGGUGGGAAGUUGAGAAGAUAGUAUACUAGGGUGGUCCUUAGACUAUAGAUGAAAAAAUUUUG